CAGGCUGCAACCCGCCUGCAUGAAGUCGGAAUUGCUAGUAAUCGCGGAUCAGCAUGCCGCGGUGAAUACGUUCCCGGGCCUUGUACACACCGCCCGUCACACCAUGGGAGCCGGUAAUACCCGAAGUCAGUAGUCCAACCUCGUGAGGACGCUGCCGAAGGUAGGAUUGGCGACUGGGGUGAAGUCGUAACAAGGUACC
rnacentral:rRNA from 1 species